CUCUUCGCCUCUGCAAUCAAGCUCUCCCAAUAAACGUGUGCAGAAGGAUCCUGUUGCAGCGUUCUUGCUGGUCGAGUAGGGUGCACGCAAGACAUCCCUUCUCUUCUCUGUUUGUGGAUGCAACACUAGGAAUCUGCCACUUGGAACCACAGCUUGUCUGACAGCAGGCUCCCUAUUGGUUUCUGCCAAUGGGGGAUACCACGAAAAACUGCAAGGUUUAAAAUGCCUGUGUAACAGAUACCCUCUUUUAAACUCCCUGUUCAAAUAACUGGUGCGGUGGUGUUCUUCCAACCAUGCUCUAACCAUGUUCCUGAAUGGUACAGAAGCUGAGCACCCUGACUAAAUUCUCUCAACUCCGGAUGUGGCUGAUCUCAACCAGGAUCCAGUCUUCAUGACCCCAGAUCUUGAUUUUCUGCUCACUCCAUCCCCCACAUCUCCUGAUGAUGAAAGAGGAUACAGUGAUCCAGUGGUGUUUCAAGAUUACGGGAAUUGUCCUCCCCUUCGUCACCACGGGAUGCUGAGCUGCAUAGACACACCCGGCACUUCGAACUAUACCUGAGAUCCCUGCCCUCAGCGUCAUCAUUGCCAGCAGGAAGCAAAGCAGCAUCAGUCCAGGGCGCAGUUCUCAGCCACCUUCACCUGUUGGAGCCUCAUUUCUACCCCUUAUUCAUUGUGGGAGUUUACCUAUAUGAACUUUAUUUACUGAGGCUCAGUCCCCUAUACCAUAAGACACCUUACAGGGCAGAGGACUAAAGGUGAUAAAACACACAAAAUCUUAUUGUAGUGCCUAACAUAAAAUGCCCAAGACAAGGUCUUUGCUACUGUUAUUCAUCUUUCUAAAUGAAAUGAGCUGGAAGUGUUCUGACAUCUCUGGGACACGUGCCUGGUGGGUGACUUUAGGGAAAGACCACCUCAGAUGACCUCUGUGAAAAGGAGGGUUUUCAAGGCAUUCUGAACAGUGAUGGCUCGCACUCUCAGAGAGCGCACUCUCAGAGAGCGCACAAGAGCUUCCAGUCAGCCCGAGGGAAGAAGAGCUCAAAAUGGUCACCCAGUGUCACCCAUGGCCUUGCUGACUCAGAGCCAAGGCAAGUCAUACUUAGAGUCAGCUUUCCAAUCAUGUGCAGUAUAAUACUGUGCAGUUUAAAUCUUGAAGUCAAAAAAAUCUGAACCCACAUGGAGAAGGGCAGGGGACACAGGUAAUCUGCUAUGAUCCUGAGGGCCAAUGGUUAUUAUUUUCAAAUACCAAAUAAAUCUUGUUUCAAAGAGGGAAAU
ensembl:lincRNA D730045A05Rik RIKEN cDNA D730045A05 gene